rnacentral:rRNA from 1 species
CACGUAGGGCGCAAGCGUUGUCCGGAAUUAUUGGGCGUAAAGAGCUCGUAGGCGGUCUGUUGCGUCCGCUGUGAAAACCCAGGGCUUAACCCUGGGCUGGCAGUGGAUACGGACAGACUAGAGGUAGGUAGGGGAGAAUGGAAUUCCCGGUGUAGCGGUGAAAUGCGCAGAUAUCGGGAGGAACACCGGUGGCGAAGGCGGUUCUCUGGGCCUUACCUGACGCUGAGGAGCGAAAGCGUGGGGAGCAAACAGG